AUUGAACGCUGGCGGCAGGCCUAACACAUGCAAGUCGAGCGGAUGAGGGAAGCUUGCUUCCCGAUUUAGCGGCGGACGGGUGAGUAAUGCCCAGGAAUCUGCCUAUUAGUGGGGGAUAACGUUCCGAAAGGAACGCUAAUACCGCAUACGUCCUACGGGAGAAAGUGGGGGAUCUUCGGACCUCACGCUAAUAGAUGAGCCUAGGUCGGAUUAGCUAGUUGGUGGGGUAACGGCUCACCAAAGCGACGAUCCGUAGCUGGUCUGAGGAGGAGGAUCAGCAACACUGGAACUGAGACACGGUCCAGACUCCUACGGGAGGCAGCAGUGGGGAAUAUUGGACAAUGGGCGGAAGCCUGAUCCAGCCAUGCCGCGUGUGUGAAGAAGGUCUUCGGAUUGUAAAGCACUUUAAGUUGGGAGGAAGGGUUGUAAGCUAAUAUCUUACAGCUUUGACGUUACCAACAGAAUAAGCACCGGCUAACUCUGUGCCAGCCGCCGCGGUAAAAC
rnacentral:rRNA from 1 species